rnacentral:misc_RNA from 1 species
GUGAAUCAUCGAAUCUUUGAACGCAUAUUGCACUCUCUGCUAUUCCGGAGCGUAUGCCUAUUUGAGUGUCAUUUUACAUAAUAUAAAUUCCAAUAUUUCUCGGAAUUUAAACUUGGUUGUCCCUUUUUUGUGGUCGCCUCAAAUCCACGACAGGCUCCUUUUCUUGUGUUGCAUGAUACUUUCAGUUACCUCGUGACUUAACCAUUCCUCAUCGGGCGUGUUAUGAAUUUUGCAAGAGAUAAAAAAUUCCAUAGAUUUAUCUCAUGCUCAAUAUAAAUCGAAUCAUGACCUCACAUU